CGAAAACGAAUUCUCUCUUGAGUGGAUCCUGAGUACGACGGAGCACGUGAAAUUCCGUCGGAAUCUGGGAGGACCAUCUCCUAAGGCUAAAUACUCUCUAGUGACCGAUAGUGAACCAGUACCGUGAGGGAAAGGUGAAAAGUACCCCGGAAGGGGAGUGAAAGAGAACUUGAAACCGUGUGCUUACAAGUAGUCAGAGCCCGUUAAUGGGUGAUGGCGUGCCUUUUGUAGAAUGAACCGGCGAGUUACGAUCUGAUGCAAGGUUAAGCAGAAAAUGUGGAGCCGUAGCGAAAGCGAGUCUGAAUAGGGCGAAUGAGUAUUUGGUCGUAGACCCGAAACCAGGUGAUCUACCCUUGGUCAGGUUGAAGUUCAGGUAACACUGAAUGGAGGACCGAACCGACUUACGUUGAAAAGUGAGCGGAUGAACUGAGGGUAGCGGAGAAAUUCCAAUCGAACUUGGAGAUAGCUGGUUCUCUCCGAAAUAGCUUUAGGGCUAGCCUCAAGUGAUGAUUAUUGGAGGUAGAGCACUGUUUGGACGAGGGGCCCCUCUCGGGUUACCGAAUUCAGACAAACUCCGAAUGCCAAAUAAUUUAACUUGGGAGUCAGAAUGUGGGUGAUAAGGUCCAUAUUCGAAAGGGAAACAGCCCAGACCACCAGCUAAGGUCCCAAAAUAUAUGUUAAGUGGAAAAGGAUGUGGCGUUGCCCAGACAACUAGGAUGUUGGCUUAGAAGCAGCCAUCAUUUAAAGAGUGCGUAAUAGCUCACUAGUCGAGUGACACUGCGCCGAAAAUGUACCGGGGCUAAACAUAUUACCGAAGCUGUGGAUUGUCCUUUGGACAAUGGUAGGAGAGCGUUCUAAGGGCGUUGAAGCAUGAUCGCAAGGACAUGUGGAGCGCUUAGAAGUGAGAAUGCCGGUGUGAGUAGCGAAAGACGGGUGAGAAUCCCGUCCACCGAUUGACUAAGGUUUCCAGAGGAAGGCUCGUCCGCUCUGGGUUAGUCGGGUCCUAAGCUGAGGCCGACAGGCGUAGGCGAUGGAUAACAGGUUGAUAUUCCUGUACCACCAUUAUUCGUUUUAAGCGAUGGGGGGACGCAGUAGGAUAGGCGAAGCGUGCUGUUGGAGUGCACGUCCAAGCAGUGAGAUUGAGUGUUAGGCAAAUCCGGCACUCUUAAGAUUGAGCUGUGAUGGGGAGAGGAACUUGUUCCUCGAGUCGUUGAUUUCACACUGCCGAGAAAAGCCUCUAGCUAGAAUAACGGUGCCCGUACCGCAAACCGACACAGGUAGUCAAGAUGAGAAUUCUAAGGUGAGCGAGCGAACUCUCGUUAAGGAACUCGGCAAAAUGACCCCGUAACUUCGGGAGAAGGGGUGCUCUUUGAGGUUCACGCUUCGAAGAGCCGCAGUGAAUAGGCCCAAGCGACUGUUUAUCAAAAACACAGGUCUCUGCUAAACCGUAAGGUGACGUAUAGGGGCUGACGCCUGCCCG
rnacentral:rRNA from 1 species